rnacentral:rRNA from 1 species
UACGAAGGGGGCUAGCGUUGCCCGGAAUCACUGGGCGUAAAGGGUGCGUAGGCGGGUCUUUAAGUCAGGGGUGAAAUCCUGGAGCUCAACUCCAGAACUGCCUUUGAUACUGAAGAUCUUGAGUUCGGGAGAGGUGAGUGGAACUGCGAGUGUAGAGGUGAAAUUCGUAGAUAUUCGCAAGAACACCAGUGGCGAAGGCGGCUCACUGGACCGGUAUUGACGCUGAGGUGCGAAAGCGUGGGGAGCAAACAGG